GAACUUAAGAGUUUGAUCCUGGCUCAGAUUGAACGCUGGCGGCAUGCCUAACACAUGCAAGUCGAACGGUAACAGGUCUUCGGAUGCUGACGAGUGGCGGACGGGUGAGUAAUGCGUAGG
rnacentral:rRNA from 1 species